UACGUAGGGUGCAAGCGUUGUCCGGAAUUAUUGGGCGUAAAGAGCUCGUAGGCGGUUUGUCGCGUCUGCCGUGAAAGUCCGGGGCUCAACUCCGGAUCUGCGGUGGGUACGGGCAGACUAGAGUGAUGUAGGGGGAGACUGGAAUUCCUGGUGUAGCGGUGAAAUGCGCAGAUAUCAGGAGGAACACCGAUGGCGAAGGCAGGUCUCUGGGCAUUAACUGGCGCUGAGGAGCGAAAGCAUGGGGAGCGAACAGG
rnacentral:rRNA from 1 species